GUAAUAUUUCUCAGCCAAUCAAAUCAGUGCAUUCCAAUAGACAUUGCGACAUGAGUGGGUGAGAUUCACACACGAGGGAGACGAGACGAGACAGUCAGAGAAAUAACUUAAAUAAACUUCAGAGGCUCCUGAGAACAAGUUCUUUCCUCCUGAGCUGAUUUCAUCGAUCAGCAAUUUCUCCAUCACACGCCAGUUGGAAAGCACCUCUGUCCUGACCACAUCACCGUCAUGCCAAUAAUGACGGUAAAGCACACCCUCUCGUGUAAUAUCACUUAUUUAUAACCUGAUUAAAAGUGUGACUCAGCGAUAUCUGAAAAUGCUAACAGGAUGCUGUCGUGUUAGCAAUGGCCGUACUGCAAUUAACUACUACAGACGAGGAUUGAAAGCAAACAAACACAGGUUUCCAAUUGAACCCACUCAUUGUGUAACUAUGACAACAAUGGCAACUGCAUGUCAGCAUGAAGCCCUUAUCCCGUAUGAAACAACCAAGCAUUGAGCUCCCUGCUGACAGGGUGCCACACACACACACACACACACACACACACA